UGUCCUACAAAUAGAUAACCAAUAAUUUUACAAAGUUUGAAUUACUCCGUCAGCUUUUACAUAAAUGUAUGUCUGUAUACAUGGCCAUUGGCCAAGCUGUUUAUUUCAAUACGUUUUUGGUCUACAGUUAUUUUUGUUCUGUUUUGGCCGGUUUCUAUACAGUAUAUCUAUACUUCAACCAGACCUCCGAUGCCAAUUAGUUCAAGGUGAUCUUCGCUAUCCCAGUGCUAAGCAUAGUGUCAUACUCAAUGUGAAUUCGAUCAGGUCUCCGUCGCAGUUCCACGUAAAAGUCGUAAACCGAGUCAAAGCCAUGGGAAAUGGCCACUGGAGGUGCAAUGCUCAGUUCUGGGUGUUCUUCCCAGAAUUCUUCAUCGUAGCUCCGAUGCCAAUUAGACCAAGGCGAUCAUUGUUAGCAAGCAUAGUGUCGUACUCGAUCUGAAUUCGAUCCAUGCUGAUUAAUGAAAAGCGGUUGACACGAAAUCUGCCAAAGCUUUGGAAAAUAAAGCAGGCUGGAGCUUCUAAUUUCCUUCGCGAUGCAGUGAAGGUGAAGGUUAAUUUCCAUUCACCUUGAGAAGAGAAGUGCCCCAACGGCUUCUCCACGAGACUUUGUGGCAUAUGAUCAGUCCAUGGAGAAGGUUAAGGAAACAAAUGGGCGGACAAGAAUUAACCCACUCCCGGGUCAAGUCGCAGCUGCAUAGUAAAACCAUUGAGUACAAAUAUUCGAAAAAACCAAUUGAAUGGCGAAUAGCCAUAGUGAUUACUUGACAAAAAACCAACGAAGACCGUGGAAUAGCUAGGUCGGGCUGAACCGAACCCGUACCGGUCCAGGUCAAGGUCGAGUUGGACUGAGGCUUGAAACUCUGGUGUGGGCCAAAGGCGGCACGUCGACGUCAGUGCAGGGUGGGCAAUGCCCCAACCCGAAAAAAACGAUCCAAGUGUAUAUACAAGGCAGUCCCUGUCGUGGUUACCCCAACGGAUUGCGCACUCGGACGUGCCCGCCUAGCCGACAGGUGAGGGCCCUAUCCAUAUCCAUCAGCAGACAACCGGCUGUGGGUGGUUCACCCUUAGAUUAGAUCACCCUGAACCGCUUGCUAAACCUCAAGUUUUGGCAUAAUUGAAUGCAGCUGCCAGAACUUGGCCAAUCUGAUUGCCAAAUAAUACGACUGUCAGCGGAGCUCGCCCAACCUUGGCAUGCGAGCACAAGUGCUGAGGACGGCACAAUCCAAAAACAAGCCGAAAAUUGCAAGCUCAUGAUACACUCUCUGGUUCGACCUCAUCCCACCGAUCUGAAACUGUUUGCGAUCAGUUCUUAGAUCACCUCUGCUUGAAGGCCGGGCCAGAACCUGUUCAGAUAUAGCAGAUUCUGGCUCGGCCCUUACAUGGCAGUCGGGGUGGGAGCGGGGAGGGUUAGGGAACAGCACUCAAUCCGGAGUCCAGAAACAGAAUUUCGCAUAAUCAAGAGGUUCCGAAGAAUCUGCCGUGUCAUUGUUUGUGGACAAAUAUUGACCGCAUUGUUGCUUAAAAUGUGUGCUAACUCGUUUACAUAUCUAUUUUUCAAGCCUCUGGACUGGACUUUCGUUAGAAAUAUUCGCUCGAAGAAGUGCAGAACUAUCCCUUAACAAAGGUCGUUCUUUCCUCAAAAUACUUUUGCCAGCGCCCCAUUAUGGGACUCAUAGAAAUAGAUUGCCUAGGCACUAAAAACGGUUCAUUGCAUUCCAUUUGGUCCGUCCAAGAAGGUGGUGGAUCCAUCGCAAAAACACACCGUUUUUUCCCGAGGCGAUCAUGGAAAAUCUUACUGAUGGACGUCAUACUAAUGCCCAAGGAUGCCCCAAGCUUCCGGUAUCUUCCUCAAUAUUUUUUGGCACAACAACUGGUUUAACACAACCUUCCCGGAAUUUGUCCUGCAUCGAAGGACGUCUACGAUUGAAUGUGUUGUACCGGCUUAUCGUAUUGGCAAUGCGUGGUGUUUCAUCAAUAAAAGUUAAACUAAGCUUGUCUAAGAGUUCUUGGCUUAAGAAUCCGCAUCAAAUAUAGUAGAAAAUCCUGACACGGACAUUUUUAUGUAUUAAUUUUCGCUUUCUCCCGAAAUUAACUUUUAUUUUGUCAUUUAUCAUUAAAUUGAUUGCAUUUAUCGUUAAACGAUAUCAAAUUCGACCUCUAAAAGGGAAAGCUUUAUGUAGGCUUAUCACAGAAAAAAUGGUUAAACACACUUAGUCCCGCCGAGGUCAUCUUUUGGUUUUAGAUUGGCGAAUGCAUCGGAAAUGUUUCAAUGUGCCAUUUCAACAUAUUGGUGGAGGCGAUGUGGCUUCUUUUACAAGAAAAGCUUUAAAAGCCGUGAUUUUCAACGAAUUGGCGGUGAGUUCGACCUGGUGUGAGACGAAUUUUAAGCUCAGUACUCAACAGUCACAGUCACUAUUUAACAGUUCAGUCUGUUGAAGUAAAUAAGAGGCUGUAUAAUUUUUCGAGGGUUCAUAAGAUACAUAAGAAAUGUUGGUCAUAAGAAAUUUCGAUGGCUACUGACCAAGAAUUUAAGUACAUAUAUAUUCAAGAAAAGAGUUGUCCUUCU
rnacentral:sRNA from 1 species